rnacentral:rRNA from 1 species
UCCGGUUGAUCCUGCCGGACCCGACUGCUAUCGGGGUGGGGCUAAGCCAUGCAAGUCUCGGGGCCGAGGCAAUGGUCGGUCCCGGCGCACGGCUGAGUAACACGUGGCUAACCUACCCUCGGGAGGGGGAUAACCCCGGGAAACUGGGGCUAAUACCCCAUAGGCGCAGACACCUGGAAUGGGUCUGCGCCGAAAAGGUUGCGGCGCCAUGCUCGCCGCAAUCGCCCGAGGAUGGGGCUGCGCCCUAUCAGGUAGUUGGCGGGGUAAAGGCCCGCCAAGCCGAUAACGGGUAGGGGCCGUGAGAGCGGGAGCCCCCAGAUGGGCACUGAGACAAGGGCCCAGGCUCUACGGAGCGCAGAGGCGCGAAACCUCCGCAAUGCGGGAAACCGUGACGGGGUUACCCCGAGUGCCACCCGCUGAGGGUGSUNUUUUCUCGGUGUAAAAAGCCGAGGGAAUAAGCGGGGGGCAAGUCUGGUGUCAGCCGCCGCGGUAAUACCAGCCCCGCGAGUKGUCGGGAUGUUUACUGGGCCUAAAGCAUCCGUAGCCGGCUCAGCAAGUYCUCCCUGAAAUCCUCGGGCUCAACCCCGAGGGCUGGGGAGGAUACUGCUGAGCUAGGGGGCGGGAGAGGCCGAGAGUACUCCCGGGGUAGGGGCGAAAUCCUAUAAUCCCGGGAGGACUACCAGUGGCGAAGGCGCUCGGCUGGAACGCGCCCGACGGUGAGGGAUGAAAGCUGGGGGAGCAAAGGGGAUUAGAGACCCCCGUAGUCCCAGCUGUAAACGAUGCAGGCUAGGUGUUGGGCGGACUUCGAGUCCGCCCAGUGCCGCAGGGAAGCCGUUAAGCCUGCCGCCUGGGGAGUACGGCCGCAAGGCUGAAACUUAAAGGAAUUGGCGGGGGAGCACCACAAGGAGUGAAGCUUGCGGUUUAAUUGGAGUCAACGCCGGAAACCUUACCGGGGGCGACAGCUGGAUGAAGGCCAGGCUAACGACCUUGCCGGACUAGCUGAGAGGAGGUGCAUGGCCGUCGCCAGCUCGUGCCGUGAGGUGUCCUGUUAAGUCAGGCAACGAGCGAGACCCCCGCCCCUAGUUGCUACCCAAUCCCCACGGGGAUUGGGGCACUCUAGGGGGACUGCCGGCGCUAAGCCGGAGGAAGGUGGGGGCUACGGCAGGUCAGUAUGCCCCGUAACCCCCGGGCCACACGCGAGCUGCAAUGGUGGGGACAAUGGGAUGCGACCCCGAAAGGGGAAGCCAAUCCCAUAAACCCCGCCUCAGUAGGAAUCGAGGGCUGCAACUCGCCCUCGUGAACCUGGAAUUCCUAGUAACCGCGUGUCAUCAACGCGCGGUGAAUACGUCCCUGCUCCUUGCACACACCGCCCGUCGCUCCACCCGAGCCGGGUUUGGGUGAGGCUUAGUUCCGUGAGGGGCUAAGUCGAACCUGGACCCGGCAAGGGGGGAGAAGUCGUAACAAGGUAGCC